rnacentral:tRNA from 1 species
GGAGAGGUGGCAGAGCGGUCGAAUGCAGCACACUGCUAAUGUGCUGAGCCUCAAAAGGGCUCCGAGGGUUCGAAUCCCUCCCUCUCCGCAA